rnacentral:lncRNA from 1 species
ACCCUUCACUCCACCCCGCGGCUACACCUGGAAAAGACUGAUGUGACAGUGACAAUGACUGCGCAGCAGAAGCUGAUAGGCAAUCACCAUGCCAAAGAUACAAACAAAGGUCUCAGGGGAUUGGAACGACAUGAAGCUCCUUGGGACGCGUCUUGCUCAAUGGCCAAUCAAGAGCAGUUGUCUGUCAUCUUGGCUGGAGAGAAAAGCUGAUCCCCCGCUCGUGGAAUUGUUCUGUCACUGGAUGGAUUGAUUCAUUCUUCAGUGUGCAGGGACCACUAACAACUACUUGUCUUCCUCUGAUUAUAUCUUAGCCAACAGAUUAUUGAGUUACAGACUCCAGGUACUGACCUUGGCCAAGUAUUAAUGUCUCUCAGUGCUGCACAUCUUUUCUGUAAACCCAGGAAUUGGUGUUUGCAGUUAUCAACUGGUGACCUAAAAAUGGUGGCGAGUGUGUGUUUGAUAGUGGAUAGCUGAAGUAAAUAACACUGUAUGC